AGCUGUUUAGCACAAUGGUUAGUGCAUGGGAAUUAACUGUGCUUGGUAAUCUAGUGGUCCUGGGUUCGAUCCCUGGAGCUGCAC